CCAACUUUGAAGGUCUGAACUUUAAAAGCUCGGUGACGGAGGCUGCUGGUGGCAGAAAAUGACAGCUGAUAGCGAAAGAAGUGGAAAAUUGCAAAGCUCACACCGACAGAGUGAAGAAUCCACCUACACAGAAGCAGGAUCAAGGUCUGUUUUUGUCUCGUCUCACCUUUUUCCUGCGGCUGCGUGCUGGCAAUGAUCCAUUUCACCAGGCAGCACUUCAUUAGAGCUUUCCUGGAGAACCUCGGCUUCUGCCACUUCCCUGAAUCCUUC